rnacentral:piRNA from 1 species
UUGUUACCAAGCUUGAUAACCUGAGGUUC